AAGAGAAGAGAAGAGAAGAGAAGAGAAGAGAAGAGAAGAGAAGAGAAGAGAAAAAGAGAGAGGGAGAGGGAGGGAGGGAGGGAGGAAGGAAGGGGAAAGACAAGGGGAGAGGUACUUCAAAUUAAAGAGUGAAGGACUGAUCAGGCUGUUUGAAGAGAAACUUUGCCAUAUCUCACACUUUAUCAUCCUUAAGGUGAGGAUAUUAUGUUAUUAAUACCUUAUAAUAAGGUAUAGAUUAUAAAAGUUGGUGAAUUUAGUAUUAAAAGCUCUGGCACUCAAAACCUCAGUGUACAGCAAGCGGAAGGAAUGGGCUGAAGAAGCAGAGAGUACCUCAGAUGACACCGUGUCCCUGGUCUCUGUGCUUAAAAAGUUAGGACCUAAGGAAGGGGCAAUGCAUUUCCUGGGGCACAACGGGGGAGUCUGGGAAACAGGCUAUGCUAAAAAGUGGGCAGGGUACGAGCUGGUCUUAUUACAAACAUUUCUCAGGCACAGCCCUUUGGGGGUCUGUUGAGCUCUGUCUGCAAGGCAGAUCUGUCCACAAAGUCCAGGCCGGAACGUACUGAUUCUUCAGCUGUCCAGGCCAAGGGCUUUCCUGAAACUAACUCUGAGAUGAAUGGUGGAAAUGGAGGAGCCUUCAGUUCUUCUUGUACCUCCUGCUGAAUGUAGACACUAGCUGGGCAUGCAAAACAAGAACAAUUACUACUAAGGGUCCUCAACAAAGAGGUUAUCUAAUGUUAGAUUUGGGAUCACAUAGACAGAAGCCACGUGCUAACCAGCUCUGAAAUAGUUAAACCAAACUAAAACAAAAACGAUCAGUGACCCCCACAAAGCACUUAUAAGAAGCCACACAUCUGGACAGCUUCCUUGGUUGAUGCCUGUCAAUAUCACAUCCCAAACACAGUGAUGCUAAUAGAAAUUUCAACCAGAAAAAUCCCCAAAAAUAGCAUUUGUAAUUUAUGUCUGUGUUUACAGUACCUUUGCAAGAGAAUACAGAAAUAAAAAAUGUCGUGGCUUUAUUAGUGCUCAUAUUUGAAUACCUGUGUUAAAAGCUUCCAUGCAAUAACUUGUAACUACACUUUGUGAUUUACUGAAAGUUUAAACCUUGGGUGGUGGUUCCCAAAUUGUCAAGAUAUUACUUAUAUCAGGCAUUAUCUUUAAACAACAUAAAUAUAAAUAUGUCACUGAAAUAUGCUAAUUCUGUAUGUGUGCACAUGUGUGUUUUGAAAGAUAUAGCAAAAAUACGGUCCCUCAAAAUAUUGCAUCUUGAACUUUUAAUACAAGUUUGAAAAAAAUAUGGAUAUUACUUCGCUGACCUCCUUAGCUGACUUUUAAAAUUAGUUCUAGUUUACUAUCUUUCACUUGCGUCCGUGUGAAGAGACCACCAAACAGGCUUUGUGUGAGCAACAAGGCUGUUUAUUUCACCUGCAGGCGGGCUGAGUCCGAAAAGAGAGUCAGCGAAAGGUGACAGGGGUGGGGCCGUUUUAUAGGAUUUGGGUAGGUAGUGGAAAAUUACAGUCAGAGGGUUGUUCUCUGGUGGGCAGGGGUGGGGGUCACAAGGUGCUCAGUGGGGGAGCUUCUGAGCCAGGAGAAGGAAUUUCACAAGGUAAUGUCAUCAGUUAAGGCAGGAACAGGCCAUUUUCACUUUUGUGAUUCUUCAGUUACUUCAGGCCACCUGGAUGUAUACGUGGAGGUCACAGGGGAUAUGAUGGCUUAGCUUGGGCUCAGAGGCCUGACGCUAUCAAGAUUAAAAUAUCUAUAUUUAUUGAAAGGUUUUUUACACAAUUGAGGGUUUUUUUUUUAAAUAUUUUGAGAUUCUACAUAUACAAAUGUGCAUACAAUCUAUAUAAACAAUCCAAAGAAAAAUUAUGUUGCUAACAUCAGUGUAACCAUUAUUUGAAGAAUAUGCUCUUAAUAAUGUGAUUAAUACUGAAACAGUGUCAAAGUGGUUGAAAGUGUUUUGUACAUGAUCUACAUAUUUAGAUUUUUAAGUUAGUACUUUUAAAUUAUGAGAAAAUAGUGGUGUUUUACAUGACUCUUCAAAAUGAAUGAAUUUAUCUUCAUAAACC
rnacentral:lncRNA from 1 species